ACACGGAGCGCACCUGGCGGUGAUUCUCGACACGAACCUACGAACCUCCUAACGCGCAAUGCAGUGCGUAAAGUGAGUUCUUCGAGUCUUUGUGUUAUACAUACGAAGCUCUAAUAGCUAGUUUACAGAUUUUUAUGCAAAUUCAUAUUGUAAAGAAUAUAAUUAAAAAAGCAGAUUGCUUUACCUACUAAGUAUUAUAGAAAGCAGUUGGAUAUUUUAUAUAUUUUUCAUAUAUAUGCAUUCUGUGCAAUUUUGUACUUUUGCUAUAAAUGCAUAAAAAUCUGCAGUAUAUUGAUAACGGAGGUAAUUAGUGUGGACUGAAGAAGAUAGAAAGAAAACAAUCAUAAAAUCGACCACUCGAUUCGUGCUGAGGAUUAAUUGAAAGGUGACGUCAAAGUGCCGCGAUUCAGUUGUAACGCACCGGUCGAAGAUAUUAACACAUACUGUUGACUUGGAAUAUGUAGUGAUCGAUUGUUAGUUCUUUGUGAAUGGUUAUUCAUGGAAAUUUAUGGUCAUGGGUAGAUAAAUUGCUUAUGGACAUAUUAUGUAUCGUAUUAAAGCUUUAUGACGAUUGUUAGAAAAUGAAGAAAUUUUAAAGCAAGCAAUGACAAUAUCAUUUAAAACAUGAAACAGGAUAAAACAAACUAUACAGUGAAAGUUCGAAAGCGAUGGAAGAACUCAGUAAAAGUUUGUGCAAAAUAAUUUGUAUAAUUGUAUUAGCGGGAUGAGACAAUAACAAUCAUGACAAUUAAUGUUGCAUUUAAUAUAUUUCACAUGCGUUGUAAAAGAAUUUAAGUUACAAGUUAUUAGUAUAGUAAUUAUUAUACAUGUACAAAUAACUUAUUUAUUAUUUAAUAGCAUUUAAACAUUAUAAUAUAUAGCACUUUCAUAGAUAAAAUGAAGUUAUGAAUUGAAUGAAUUCAAUAAAAUAGACAAUUUUUUAAAUAUGAAUUAGCUUGUUCUUAUAAGCAAAAUAUUAAUGGCGUUAUACGUAGUUAGUAUGUAGUUAAUAAAUAUUUUCAUUUCACUUUUUCAUUAUCGAUUUCUCAUAAAAACAUGUCUCAUAAAUGUACGUGAAAGCUAUGAGUAAUAGUAAACAGUGAAAGUUAAUUAAUUAUUAGUCAUCAAUCAUCAUUCACAACAUACCAAUCUGUAUUAAUCUGUAUUAUAUUUUAUAUUUAAUACUUUAUCACGUGAGAGGAACGACAAUUUUUCAAAUAAUCCAUUCGUAAAUUUAAAUACUUCAUUUCGUUAAGAACAAGAUUCAACACAAGAGGGCGCUAAAAGUGCAUGCGAAACGUCGAAAUUGAUCAUUAGCCAAAAUUUUAUCCGUAUUACGAGACGAAAGAAUUUAUGAUGACGUGACAUAUUCAGGAAAAAACUGACACGUGUGCAUCCGGCUGCAAUAGUGUGCGUGGACAACAGAUGUAUCUCGAUUCAGAGUCACGUGUUCAUCACUGCUAAUUUUUCGUCUUACACGUACCAUGUAACAGUAUUGUCAAAAGGAUCAUAGCACGUAGUGGUCACGUAUAGUGCUAUAGGUUGUGCAUGUUUCGUAUUGCGUAAGCUCUCGCAAAGAUUGUACAAUGCUUGUAAACGACCGAUCUAAUUCCAUCCAUCUACGAGCAUCAUUGAUCGCAAUAUUGAUUACAUAUAUUAAAUGCAACUAAAUUAGACCAUCAUUGGCAAGUAAUAAAGAUAGGCAUUGAAAAGCGGCGACGAAAAAUUAGACGCAAUUCUAGUGUGAUAAUUUAUUAGAUGUUCUUUUUAUACAAUGUAUUAUGUAUCUGCAUGCACUUAGAACCAUGAAAAACUCUUCACAAAUAAUAUGCAACAUGUAAAUUAUGUAUAUACAUAAAUGUAACGAAAAUUGGAAUUUUAUUAAUCUUAUAUAAUUUCUAUUUCUCUAACGAGAGUAACUUUUAAAUUCCAGUUCUUCUUCCCGUACCAUAUUGUAUGAAAAGAGAAUUUAUUACAAUAGCUGAAAAGAUACAAAUAUUUCCACUGUUAUGACAGACAUAUGUAUGUUAUCGGUUAUAGGUUAUAUUGAUAAGUAAUGUGAAGCAACUUAUAUUCUUUCUCUCUUUAAAAUUAAUUAUUAAGCUCAAAUUAUAUAUAAAAUAUUUCCAUACAUAAAUUCGAAGAGUUUUGAUGUUUCAGAUUAUAAAAUACACGAAUUGUCAUCGUUAUCGAGCACUAAGUGUUGCGCACUUUAAAAUAUUCUUUCGAAGUCACGCGUUAAUAGAUCACGUGACGAAAGGUGAUUUAAGCGAAAGUAACUUUUUUUUUGCUAUUCACUUAAACGUAAUUUAUUUUUCUUAAAACUAAUAUCCCUUUCAAUUUAUUUAAGAAUUGAAGUAAAAAUAAUUUCGUUCUUCAAGCGAAAUUUAAUUACUUUAUAGAUAUCAAAAACGUAAUUAUGAACAAAUUCUGUACAGCGCUCGUUUAAAGCAUAAAUUCAAAAUGUUAAGUCGUUAAUUUUGUUACUUUUAAGAUUUGUAAAACAAUAGCUAUAUACAUAUAACUUGAACUUGACUUGUACAUCUAUACAUUAUCGUAUGAUCGUACGAUAUCACAUUACAAUAUGAAAACAUGUAGCUCCUUAGAAAUUUACGUAUGCGAUGUACAAUAAAAUAUCGAGCGAUGCUUUCAGUAUAGGCCCAUACUAUUUCAAGAUACAAAGUGUUUGACUGGGUGUAGACUAAAUGUCAGUCAAGGUCGAAUCUCAUUGCAGGUCAAACAUCAGCGUUUGCAUCAGUUUUUCGGUAUGAAAUAAUCAAUAAAAAUUUAUAAAAACGCAUGACACUUUUCAUUUCAACUUUCAAUAAAUUAUUCAUUCAAGAAUACGUACAAACAUAACUUACCUUAUAUUGAUGAGAUGAUUUCUAACUUGAAACGUGCGUCUACGUAUGUCGUACGAUUUGCUGGUUGGAAAGCGACUGAGGUAAACCUAGGGUAUUCGUUGGUUUCAAAGACUGAACAAGAAUGAUAUUGGCGCAAGCGCAUUCUCUAUAAUCGUAGAGGUUCUCAACAUUGGCUCGACUAACCGUUGUUAUAACCAAAAUAACGUACGUAGGUACGUAAAUAUAGAAUUAAACACCACGGAUAUUUCAGUGGCAAAAGUACGUUAUUACGAGUUUGAAAAUAGAAUGGUUUUUUUAUACAGAAAAAAUAUUAUUUGAAAUAAUUUUGUAAAUGAAAAAAUUUGCUUUGUUUUUUCUAGUAAUAUGUGGUAUACAGAGUAUUUUGAGUGCUAUAGUUACUUUACACAAAUGCGCAUCACAUGAAACAUUUAAAAUUAGAUUAUAGUUAUACAAUAGAUGCUUGAAAUAAAAUUAUUCGAGCACGGUAAACAAUAAAGAUCCAAAUUUAAGAUAACAAAAUAUUGCAUUGAAGCUUUUCUUUAAACUUCUUUCAAUGAUCCCAACAACUUAGAAAUACACAGAGAUAAAUACGUAUAAAUACAAUUAAAAGUAAAUAAUAAGUAAAUAUAAUUAAGAUCAUUCACAAUAAAAUAAGAAUUAAUGUUAUUCUGUUUACAUAUUAUCCGCCAUGUGUAUAUCGAAAAAAUGUAUAUAUACAAAUAAAGAUACUUCCUCGAAUAAACUAAAGUACCACAUGUGUUCGUUUAAAAUCUUUGUAUUUAUUUUUUACAUGGUUCUAUUGUUUGUUUUCCAAGACAACGAAUUAAAAAUAAAUGUGUCCAAGUGGGAUAUCAUAUUUAAUAAUUGUUUCAUAGCUACGACACUGCCAAGCAUACGUGCUGAUGAUCCCGUCCAUAAAGCCUAAAAGGAUAAGGGGGACAUGGGAAUUGGUGGGGAUUCAUGGAAAUGACGACGUAUCGACCCUUAAGUAACGGACCAAAUUCUCGGACGUUAUACGACUCAACUCGCACGUACCGUCGCGGAAGCCUUCAAUUGAGAGUCUCUGGUUUAGAGGUCAGUCAAGGGCACCUUUCGUGACAUUCGUCGAAUUUAUUAACGAAAUUUUUCGAUGUAAGGUUGACGUACCCUCACACACACACAUUAUGAAACGUCUUUUCGUUGAAACGUCUUUAUCAUUGCGCGAUAUAGUUUAUUGAUAAGAUGUAUUCAUGAGAUGUCAUUUCAUGAUGACGUAGUCAUGAUCUGACGUUCAAGGUGUUCGAGUGAAUUGAUAAGCAAUCACAUGUAAUUGGAAUUUGCAUGAUGCAACUGAAGAUUGAAUAUUGAAAAGAAUUCUGAUAUUCGUUUGCACACAGGUAUAAUUAUAACUUCGUAACUUUUAAUUGGAUAUUUGUUAACUGAUCGAUAAUUUUAACGAGAAUUCCUAGUGCACACACCGUUUUCAGGUUCUAAUUCUCCUAACGAAGCUUGGGAGCAGAGCUUCGCUCUUUCUAAAAAUGCUGCUUGAGCAUCUUGCACUUUAUCUGGAUUUCCUCUCCACGUUUUCAAUGCUGCAUUCUUUGAAAAGAGUUAGGAUAUUUGAAGAUACUUGUAAAGCACGUCCGUAGCAAAACGUAAGAGGC